UACGGGGGGGGCAAGCGUUGUUCGGAAUUACUGGGCGUAAAGGGCUCGUAGGCGGCCAACUAAGUCAGACGUGAAAUCCCUCGGCUUAACCGGGGAACUGCGUCUGAUACUGGAUGGCUUGAGUUUGGGAGAGGGAUGCGGAAUUCCAGGUGUAGCGGUGAAAUGCGUAGAUAUCUGGAGGAACACCGGUGGCGAAGGCGGCAUUCUGGACCGACAUUGACGCUGAGGAGCGAAAGCCAGGGGAGCAAACAGG
rnacentral:rRNA from 1 species